rnacentral:lncRNA from 1 species
AUUCUUUUUGUCUUUUCCAGGGCUGCACCUGAGGCAUAUGGAAGUUCCCAGGCUAGGGAUCUAAUUGGAACUGAGGCCACCGGCCUACGCCAGAGCCACAGCAAUGCCAGAUCCGAGCUGCGUCUGCGACAUACACCACAGCUCACGGCAACGCUGGCUCCUUAACCCACUGAGCAAGGCCAGGGAUCGAACCCGCAACCUCAUGGUUCCUAGUCGGAUUCGUUAACCACGGAGCCACAACGGGAACUCCUUUCAGAACUUUUUGAAUUUUUGGGAUGAACAAGGCAGGUGAACAUUUCCCAGCGAGGGACUGGCGGAUGCAAAGGUGAGGGGGGCUGUAACCAGCAGAGAAUGAGAACAAAAGAGAUGGCAAGCUGCAACCUGAGAUGUGUGUGCAGAAGUGGUCAGAGGAGAAGCCGAGGGACAAGGGUGGCCUCAGCUCCUAAAAGGCACGCAGGCCCCGCUGAAGACCUCACUCGCGCUGUGGGCCACGGAGAGCCCCGGAAGAGUUGGAAGCAGGCAGGUUAUGAUCAGAUUUGUGAUCUUAUUUUAUGUUUUUCAUUUAACUUUUUUAAUUAAAGUAUAGCUGAUUUGCUCUACUUUAGCAAUUGCGCUAAUUUCUGCUAUAUAGCAAAGUGACCGGGUCAUGCUUCCCUUUCUUAUAUUAUCCUCCAUCACGGCCUCCAGAUUUGCAUCUUCAUAAAAUGCUCCUCGGUGGCCACCUGGUAAAGGGACAGGAAGAGAGGCUGAGGAGGUGCCCCACUGGGAGAGAGUGCCAAUGGCAGGGAAGAAAUGGGCAUGAGGCCAACUCGGGCAAUGGAGACGGUGAAAGAGGGGGACGCCACCGCAGCCGGGUCUGUGACCACUGCUAGGUCUUCUCAGACUUGCGUUCUGAGUCGGCGGGGCCAGGACAGACUCAGGCCGUACGCACCUGACCUCUGUACUGUGCCCAUGAGCUGUGACCUAGAGGAGAGAGCGGAAGCGAGCAAGGAGAAGGCUGCCUCGAUUCAGCUGCCAAAUAAUUACCUGGUCAAUGGGGCCGCCACCAAAAAGAAAAUCAUAUACAAGAACGAGGUUGGGAAGAGAGCUCCUUGUAGGGCAGGAACAAAUGGGGGCCGUGAAUACAUGAUGGAUUCACACAGGAAUUCAAAGACGACCCCUUCGCAUGCGCGAGCGUUUAUGCUACAGCCACCCCAGGGUCCAGGCAGAAGGCCUCUCUGCACAACAUGGGCAAAAAGGUUCGCCCAGCCCGUCCUGUUCUGGCCGCCUAUGCAAUGUGGAACCCCUCCUGUGGAGGCUGCAAAGUGCUGGCUUGAACAACGGCCCCUCCAGGCAGUGGGGGCAGCACAGCCCCCGCUCCUGCAGGCACGGCAGCCCCUCUGAGCCCGAACCCAGGCACUACCAUUGAGGAAGGGGCACCCACCAGAGGAGGGGACAUGGCCCGAGGGGGGCAGUACCAGAGGCCCCCAGUGGAGCUGGGAACGUGGACUUGGGAGCCCCCACCAGGUGUCCAGCUGGCCUCAGUAUGUUCCUGGACGUGUACCUUGGGAACAGGGAAAACCCUCGCUGCUUCUCAGAAGUGGAUCUCCAAAAGGCCAUGGAAAAAACUAAAGCGCUCAAUGCAAACCCUGAUAAAAGUCUGUCUCACAUUUUUUCCUUUCCACAUUCCUGCAGGAUUUGGGACCCGGGUCUUGGGAGAGUCAGUCUACAUAGAACAAAAGAGGAAAGAGACCUCCACUAGGGGAUGGUGCCCAAGGAGGGAAACGGGGGGUCAGCUGCUUCUUGUAUUUUGUGACUUUUGAUUAUGGACAUGGAUGAACAUUAGCCAAAUUAAACAGAGUCAUAAAAUGAACCCUAUAGGAGCCAGCACCCCAGACCAAUCACCCCCAAUGCAGGGUCCAUCUUACUUCAUCUAUCUCCCCUGCCCCCCUCCAGAUUAUUCUAGUCAGCUGCUUCCUUCCCAGCCCGAUUUGAACCCACAAAACACCCAACUCCCAGGCAAGCUUUGGCUCACUGCUGGGCGCCCCUCGCAUUUUCACCUGGAAACCCUCUGGUGUCCAUCUACCCCAGAGACUCCGCCAAAAUAGGGUUUUCAGAGGGUGGGGAUGAAGGAGACAGGCGUGCAUGGGUGACCGGACGCCCUGAAAAGCUGCCUGAUGUCAACAAGUCGUGUGCAGGAGGGGGAGGAAACCCCAGCGCUUCUCCCUUAGAAGUUCCCCCUGCUGCCCCUCACCUCUGCAGCCCAGCUCAAACCAGGAAAUAGGACGGGGUUUGCCCUGUCUGCUUGACAAAAGGGCUGGUUUAUGUUCCCUUGGUGAGUUUUUAUUUCUGUGCUGUUAUUUCACCCCUAAAAUUUACAGUUUUCAGUGCCUGAAUUCUUCCACCCUGUUUUGAAUCGACCCACUCCCUUCUCUUCCUAGUCUGUGAAUGGCCAGAAAUAGUUUCCAUUGUCAUUGACUUAAAUUUCCACUUUGAUGAUGGGAACAAAUAUUUUUCUUGCGCUUUCCUGAAGCAAGAAUAAAAUUUUCCAUCCUUAGUCAGGCUCUGCAGGCCAAUCCCUGAGCAGAAAGUGCAGAGGACACCCCAGCAGACAGCCCCAGUGUGUUU